GCCUGCACAUGCUUUGUUUCUCCUCGGCAGGGAUGUUCUCAUGAAAGCGUCUAGGAAGUAACUGACGCUCCAAACUCUACUGAUACGCGACAAAUCUGAUUAUGCCCCGCCGACUGAAUGGUGCCUCUGCCAUGAUAAAUAUCCGCUGAAACGAUUUGAAACACAACUCUAAAGACUGUCGCAGCCUGUGAACGACAACUAAAGGUAACAGAAAUCCUGAACGAUGAAGUUGCUUUGCAUCCUGAUGCUUUUUUAUGUUGUGGUAUUGACCUUACAAGUACAGGAAGUUGAAGGCAUCACAGGAUAUUGGCCGCGACCCACAAGAAAGCACAAGAGAGAAAAUCAUUACGAUGAGUUGCAUAGGAAGAAGUUUCCACUUGACUACAGACGAAGCCUGUGUGCAGCCGUUCGUGACAUUGAUUGUAGCCGAGUAUUGGAGGAGGGAUCAGAGUCUCAGUGAAAAAUAAAAUACCAGUCGAUGUUGGAAAGUAAGCCCUCGGCUCUCCUUUGUUAGCCCGGCAAGAGUAAAGCUUCAAGAACUAAUUUUUAGAAAGAAUGACCAAACUCAUAGUAAAAAUAAACUUAGCCUGAAACUCUUGAA